rnacentral:rRNA from 1 species
AGAGUUUGAUCMUGGCUCAGAUUGAACGCUGGCGGCAUGCCUUACACAUGCAAGUCGAACGGCAGCACGGGAGCAAUCCUGGUGGCGAGUGGCGAACGGGUGAGUAAUAUAUCGGAACGUGCCCAAUCGUGGGGGAUAACGCAGCGAAAGCUGUGCUAAUACCGCAUACGAUCUACGGAUGAAAGCGGGGGACUCAGCAAUGGGCCUCGCGCGAAUGGAGCGGCCGAUAUCAGAUUAGCUAGUUGGUGGGGUAAAGGCUCACCAAGGCGACGAUCUGUAGCUGGUCUGAGAGGACGACCAGCCACACUGGAACUGAGACACGGUCCAGACUCCUACGGGAGGCAGCAGUGGGGAAUUUUGGACAAUGGGCGCAAGCCUGAUCCAGCAAUGCCGCGUGCAGGAUGAAGGCCUUCGGGUUGUAAAACUCUGUCUUCAGGGAAGAAACAAAUGACGGUACCUGAGGAGGAAGCCACGGCUAACUACGUGCCAGCAGCCGCGGUAAUA